AGUGAACGCUGGCGGCAGGCCUAAUACAUGCAAGUCGAACGGCAGCACAGUGGAGCUUGCUCCAUGGGUGGCGAGUGGCGGAAGGGUGGGGAAUACAUGGGCAUCUGCCCAGUCGAGGGGGAUAACGUAGGGGAACUUACGCUACUACCGCCUGCGCCCUUCGGGGGAAGGACGGGGACAUUUGGGGCUGGCGCGUUAGGAUAGGCCCAUGUUCGUUUAGGUAGUUGGCGGGGUAAAGGCCCACCAAGGCGACGAACGAUAGCUGGUCUGAGAGGAUGAUCAGCCACACUGGGACUGAGACACGGCCCAGACUCCUACGGGAGGUAGCAGUAGGGAAUAUUGGACAAUGGGCGCAAGCCUGAUCCAGCCAUGCCGCGUGAGUGAAGAAGGCCCUCGGGUUGUAAAGCUCUUUUGGCCGGGAAGAAAAGCAGCGAGCUAAUACCUCGCUGUUCUGACGGUACCGGAAGAAUAAGCACCGGCUAACUUCGUG
rnacentral:rRNA from 1 species